rnacentral:rRNA from 1 species
AUUGAACGCUGGCGGCAUGCCUUACACAUGCAAGUCGAACGGCAGCACGGGAGCAAUCCUGGGGGCGAGAGGCGAACGGGUGCGUAUUACAUCGGAACGUGCCGAGUCGUGGGGGAUAACGUAGCGAAAGCUACGCUACUACCGCAUACGAUCUAUGGACGAAAGCGGGGGAUCGCAAGACCUGGCGCGAUUGGAGCGGCCGAUAUCAGAUUAGGUAGGUGGUGGGGUAAAGGCUCACCAAGCCGACGAUCUGUAGCUGGGCUGAGGGGACGAGCAGCCACACGGGGACUGAGACACGGCCCAGGCUCCUACGGGAGGGAGCAGUGGGGAAUUUUGGACCAUGGGCGCAAGCCUGAUCGAGCAAUGCCGCGUGCAGGAUGAGGGCCUACGGGUUGUAAAGUGCUUUUGUACGGAACGAAACGGUGAGCUCUCAUACAGUUGGCUACUGACGGUACCGUAAGAAUAAGCCCCGGCUAACUACGUGCCAGCCGCCGCGGUAA